rnacentral:rRNA from 1 species
AUGCUUAAGAUUGAUCUAGCUAAGGCCUUCGACGGAAUUGAAGGGAACUUUAUAGAAUCAGCUCUUGCUCGAAAAGGAUUGAAUAGUCAUUUCAUUAAUAUUAUACAUGCUUGUAUCUAUUUGCCUAUGUUAUCUGUUAUUAUGAAUGGUCAGUCUUUUGGGCGUUUCAAAAACUCUAGAGGCAUUAGGCAAGGAUGCCCACUGUCACCUUCACUUUUUGUCCUUGCAGUCAAUGAGCUCUCUCUCUCUCUCUCUGACGCAUUACAAAAUAAUCACUUGUCAGGUAUUGCUCUUGGACCACAAUGUUCGCCCAUUCAUUCCCUCAUGUUUGCGGGCGACCUAUUGGUAUGUGGUAAGGCUAAUAUAUAUGCAGGAAGCUUCAACUAUAGCUCAUGUUUUACGACAUUUUCGUAA